UACGUAGGGUGCGAGCGUCGUCCGGAAUUAUUGGGCGUAAAGAGCUUGUAGGUGGUUUGUCGCGUCUGCUGUGAAAAUCCGAGGCUCAACCUCGGACUUGCAGUGGGUACGGGCAGACUAGAGUGUGGUAGGGGAGACUGAAUUCCUGGUGUAGCGGUGGAAUGCGCAGAUAUCAGGAGGAACACCGAUGGCGAAGGCAGGUCUCUGGGCCAUUACUGACACUGAGAAGCGAAAGCAUGGGGAGCGAACAGG
rnacentral:rRNA from 1 species